rnacentral:lncRNA from 1 species
UGUGACCCUUAAUUUUCCCUGAUUCCUUUUCUAGGAAGCACAAAACAUUUGUUGAGAGCCCUCUUCCUCCUAAUACAAGCGGCUUCUCAGAUGGCUUUUCGUUUCAUGCCUCCUGGUGGUGCAGUUUGGGAGGUGGUACUUGGGGAUUUGGGAAUUCUAAGAUUCAGCCAGGUGGAUGCUGGGAAUAUUGUUCAUCUGUUGGGUUCAGACAUUGGGAUGCUGGUCAUAUCUCUUGUCAUCAUAAAGUUGAGCCAAAAGCUGGUGAUGCCCCUUGUUCCUGAGUCAACUUCACCCUCCCACAGCAAUGAGAGGGAAGAGGAGACAGAGGUGGAGCAAGAGGCAGGAGAUGAAAUCAAUCUGGAUAUUGAUGACAGUAAUUCUGACAGUAGCACUUACUCUGAGGAAAGUGUUUCUGAAGCAAAGACCAAGGGGAAGAUGACAGAAUUCUUGGGCAAAAUCACUACCAUCACCACCCACUUGCAAACAAUACUGGAC